AUACGGAGGGGGCUAGCGUUGUUCGGAAUUACUGGGCGUAAAGGGCGCGUAGGCGGACUAUCAAGUCAGGGGUGAAAGGCCUGGGCUCAACCCGGGAACUGCCUUUGAAACUGAAAGUCUAGAGUCCGAGAGAGGAUAGCGGAAUUCCCAGUGUAGAGGUGAAAUUCGUAGAUAUUGGGAAGAACACCAGUGGCGAAGGCGGCUAUCUGGCUCGGUACUGACGCUGAGGCGCGAAAGCGUGGGGAGCAAACAGGAUUAGAAACCCCAGUAGUCC
rnacentral:rRNA from 1 species